rnacentral:rRNA from 1 species
CCUACGGGGGGCUGCAGUGGGGAAUAUUGGACAAUGGGGGCAACCCUGAUCCAGCCAUGCCGCGUGUGUGAAGAGGGCCCUCGGGUUGUAAAGCACUUUCAGUGAGGAAGAACGCCUGGUGGUUAAUACCCAUCAGGAAAGACAUCACUCACAGAAGAAGCACCGGCUAACUCCGUGCCAGCAGCCGCGGUAAUACGGAGGGUGCGAGCGUUAAUCGGAAUUACUGGGCGUAAAGCGCGCGUAGGUGGCUUGAUAAGCCGGUUGUGAAAGCCCCGGGCUCAACCUGGGAACGGCAUCCGGAACUGUCAAGCUAGAGUGCAUGAGAGGAAGGUAGAAUUCCCGGUGUAGCGGUGAAAUGCGUAGAGAUCGGGAGGAAUACCAGUGGCGAAGGCGGCCUUCUGGACUGACACUGACACUGAGGUGCGAAAGCGUGGGUAGCAAACAGGAUUAGAUACCCGUGUAGUC